UGGGGAAUUUUUGACAAUGGGGGAAACCCUGAUCCACCCAUCCCGCGUGUGCGAUGAAGGCCUUCGGGUUGUAAAGCACUUUUGGCAGGAAAGAAACGUCAUGGGUUAAUACCCCGUGAAACUGACGGUACCUGCAGAAUAAGCACCGGCUAACUACGUGCCAGCAGCCGCGGUAAUACGUAGGGUGCAAGCGUUAAUCGGAAUUACUGGGCGUAAAGCGUGCGCAGGCGGUUCGGAAAGAAAGAUGUGAAAUCCCAGAGCUCAACUUUGGAACUGCAUUUUUAACUACCGGGCUAGAGUGUGUCAGAGGGAGGGGGAAUUCCGCGUGUAGCAGUGAAAUGCGUAGAUAUGCGGAGGAACACCGAUGGCGAAGGCAGCCUCCUGGGAUAACACUGACGCUCAUGCACGAAAGCGUGGGGAGAAAACAGG
rnacentral:rRNA from 1 species